GUAGGGGGUGGGGGGAAGAGGAGAAGGAUGGAAGGCGGUCUGCCCUGUGCGGGGUCCACAAGGGACCCCUGGCCCGCCCAGGGCCUCUCCCAGUCCCGCAGCCGGUCCCUCUACAUCAAGCGUGGGGCCUUGCGGGGAGCCGAAGCCAACCUUCCAGUGCCUCAUUUGGGGGAACAAUUCAAGGAAAAGGAAAAAAGGAUUACAAACCUUGCAUCCCCACCUUCAGUUUUUCAACCAGAAUACGCUAGUGCUCAGGAAAAUAUGAAGCAGGGAAGCUAUGGACCAAUGAGGAGGUACAAGCAUUCCAGGCUGGCCAUUCAUCUGGCGCUACCACUGGAUGCUAUCCAACCACCUCCUACCUCACCACUAAGUCGGACAGCCCAAGGCCAGAGGCGGGGCCUGAAAUACACAUGUCCCCCGCCUUCCUCUCCCCACCCUAAACCCUUUAAGAGAGGAAGGAGGUGACAAUCGGGGGAGAGAAGAAAGGUUCCUGGCCCCGCCCAAAGCAGGCAGUGAACCUCACCCCAUUCUCCCCUCCCCAGGGGUCGGCAGAGGGGAGAGGGCCGUCUGGAGUCCUGGGAUGGGCGGAAGGAGCGGGAGAUGGUUGGCUACGUGGGAUACUGCAUGCACAGGUUAAGAACAUUUUCUUAGAUGCUUCCAGGGAUUAUCAAGAAUAUUGACCUGUGGUACAGCUUUUAACUUUCUUGAACUGGAUUGAAGUGGCUGGUCCAUUUUGUGACAAUAA